CAUCCAAUCCAAAAUAGAUACAUAUUAUUAAUGAUAAAGUUGAGCAAGAACUACUUUCUGAAGCUGAGACUGCAUGGACACAGCGUGAAUGAUCAAUACAACAUGUGCUUUUUCCUUCCAUGAGACUCUUUCUAAAACCACCUUACUCUAUGGCUACAGAUGGAACUUUUGUUCGGGUAGCUUCAUUGGAGAAACUGUACAAGAUUUUUGAAAGAUGCUAGGCAACCAUAUGGAUUGUUGCUCUCUGCGAUAUCCUCUUUAAUAUUGUGCUCUUGUGAAUAUGUAACUAUAGUAUUCAGGGAGCUCGUCUCAAAGAUUUCCUUGGUCUGGUGAUUCUGAAUCAUGUUUCUUGUAAAGUACUUUCGAAUGUAAAAGGCAUUUUGAGAACAAUUGAAUUGGAUGUGUUCUUGUGUAUUACUUUCGUGUCAUUGCAGCCAACCAGCCAAGAACGAACGAUUCUGAUA